rnacentral:rRNA from 1 species
GAUGAACGCUAGCUACAGGCUUAACACAUGCAAGUCGAGGGACGGGCGCACGGGUGAGUAACACGUAUCCAACCUGCCCUUUACGCGGGGAUAGCCUUUCGAAAGAAAUAUUAAUACCCGAUAUAAAGGAUGGGGAUGCGUUCCAUUAGGUGGUUGGUAAGGUAACGGCCCACCAAGCCAUCGAUGGUUAGGGGUUCUGAGAGGAAGGCCCCCCACAUCUGAGCCGAGACACGGUCCAAAAUCGUACGGGAGGCAGCAGUGAGGAAUAUUGGUCAAUGGGCGUUAGCCUGAACCAGCCAAGUAUCGUAAAGGAUGAAUGCUUAUGGGUCGUAAACUUCUUUUAUAUAAGAAUAUGUAUUAUAUGAAUAAGCAUCGGCUAACUCCGUGCCAGCAGCCGCGGUAAUAC